rnacentral:lncRNA from 1 species
ACAUUCUUUCAGAUGCCAGAGGAUGCUAUAGAAAAAUGCGUGCCCUCUUGUAAUACUUUGUUCAAGUUCUGAUCAGAAGGAUGAAUGAUGGAGCCCAAGAAGCCAGAGUCUCAUUGUGUUGCUCAGGCUGGAAUCCAGUGGCAUGAUCUCGGCUCAGUGCAACCUCCGCCUCCUGGGUUCAAGCAGUUCUCCUAGAUCAGCAUCAGCGUCCCGAGUAGCUGGGAUUACAGGCACCCGCCACCAUGCCUGGCUAAUGUUGGUCAGGCUGGCUCGAACUCCUGACCUCAAGAGAUCCACCUGCUUUGGCCUCCCAAAGUGCUCGGAUUACAGGCAUGAGCUGCCACACCCAGCCUCCAAAUACUUUUUUUUUAAAUCAAAAUAAUGAUUUCAAUGACUGAGAUCUGUUAUGUAUUUCAACAUAAUCAUGUUUCAUAAAGAUUUAGUCUUCUGAAA